AUUGAACGCUGGCGGCAUGCUUUACACAUGCAAGUCGAACGGUAACAGGGAGCUUGCUCCGCUGACGAGUGGCGAACGGGUGAGUAAUGCAUCGGAACGUACCCAGUCGUGGGGGAUAACGUAGCGAAAGUUACGCUAAUACCGCAUACGUCCUGAGGGAGAAAGCGGGGGGACCGUAAGGCCUCGCGCGAUUGGAGCGGCCGAUGUCGGAUUAGCUAGUUGGUAGGGUAAAGGCCUACCAAGGCGACGAUCCGUAGCGGGUCUGAGAGGAUGAUCCGCCACACUGGGACUGAGACACGGCCCAGACUCCUACGGGAGGCAGCAGUGGGGAAUUUUGGACAAUGGGCGAAAGCCUGAUCCAGCCAUGCCGCGUGAGUGAAGAAGGCCUCGGUUGUAAGACGUCUUUCUAGCCGGAAAGAAAUACGCGCAGGAGUAAUACUACUGCGUGGAGUGACGGUACCGGAAGAAGAAGACACCGGC
rnacentral:rRNA from 1 species